UCGGGAAUUUUGGGCAAUGGGCGCAAGCCUGACCCAGCAACGCCGCGUGAAGGAUGAAAUCCCUCGGGAUGUAAACUUCGUAAGAACAGGAAGAAUAAGUGGGGGAUAAUACCCCCCAUGAUGACGGUACUGUUUGUAAGCUCCGGCUAACUCCGUGCCAGCAGCCGCGGUAAUACGGGGGGAGCAAGCGUUGUUCGGAUUUACUGGGCGUAAAGGGCGCGUAGGCGGUCACGACAAGUCAGUUGUGAAAUCUCUGGGCUUAACUCAGAACGGUCAACUGAUACUGUCGGACUAGAGUGCAGAAGGGGCAACUGGAAUUCUCGGUGUAGCGGUGAAAUGCGUAGAUAUCGAGAGGAACACCUGCGGCGAAGGCGGGUUGCUGGGCUGACACUGACGCUGAGGCGCGAAAGCUAGGGGAGCGAACGG
rnacentral:rRNA from 1 species